GCAGGGGGGAUGGGGACAGCAGGGGGACAUUAUGGGGUGGGGACAGCAGGGGGGAUGGGGACAGCAGGGGACAGCAGGGGGACAUCGGGGGGACAGCAUUGGGGAUAAGGACAGCAGGGGACAGCAGGGGACAGCAUCAGUGGGGACAUCAAUGGGAUGGGGACAGCAGGGAGACAUUAGGGGGACAGCAUCAGUGGGGACAUCAUUGGGGACAGCAGGGGACAGCAUGGGGACAUCAUGGGGAUGGGGACAUCAGGGGACAGCAUCAGUGGGGACAUCAAUGGGGAUGGGGACAUCAGGGGACAGCAGGGGGACAUCGGGGGGACAGCAUUGGGGAUAAGGACAGCAGGGGACAGCAGGGGGACAUCAUGGGGACAUCAAUGGGGAUGGGGACAUCAGAGGGACAUCAGGAGGACAGCAGGGGGACAUCAGGGGACAUCAUGGGGACAUCAGGGGGACAUCAUCGGUGGGGACAGCAGGGGGGGAUGGGGACAGCAGGGGGACAUCAGGGGACAUCAUGGGGGCAUCAGGAGGACAGCAAGGGGACAUCAUGGGGACAGCAUCAUUGGUGGGGGCAUCAGUGGGGAUGGGGACAUCAUGGGGACAGCAGGGGGAUAUCAUGGGGACAUCAGGGGGACAUCAUCAGUGGGGACAUCAGUGGGGAUGGGGACAGCAGGGGACAGCAUCAGUGGGGACAUUAAUGGGGAUGGGGACAUCAGGGGACAGCAGGGGGACAUCAGGGGGACAGCAUUGGGGAUAAGGACAGCAGGGGACAGCAUCAGUGGGGACAUCAGUGGGGAUGGGGACAGCAGGGGGACAUUAGGGGGACAGCAUCAGUGGGGACAUCAUUGGGGACAGCAUGGGGACAUCAUGGGAUGGGGACAUCAAGGGACAGCAUCAGUGGGGACAUCAAUGGGGAUGGGGACAGCAGGGGACAGCAGGGGGACAUCAGUGGGGACAUCAAUGGAUGGGGACAGUAGGGGACAUCAGGAGGACAGCAGGGGGACAUCAGGGGGACAUCAUCAGUGGGGACAUCAGUGGGGAUGGGGACAGCAGGGGGACAGCAUGGGGAUAGCAGGGGGACAUCAUCAGUGGGGACAUCAAUGGGAUGGGGACAGCAGGGGGACAGUAGGGGGAUAUCGGUGGGGACAUCAAUGGAUGGGGACAUCAGAGGGACAUCAGGAGGACAUCAUCAGUGGGGACAUCAAUGGGGAUGGGGACAGCAGGGGACAGCAGGGGGACAUCAUUGGUGGGGACAUCAAUGGGGAUGGGGACAGCAGGGGGACAUCAGGGGGACAUCAUCGGUGGGGACAUCAAUGGGGAUGGGGACAUCAGGGGGACAGUAGGGGGACAUCAGUGGGGACAUCAAUGGGGAUGGGGACAUCAGGGGACAUCAGGGGACAGCAGGGGACAGCAGGGGGACAGCAUCAGUGGGGACAUCAGUGGGGAUGGGGACACCACGUGACCCAUACGACCCCCCCCCCCCCCGCCCCAUCCC
ensembl:lncRNA